GCCAGUGUGGCAUAUGGGUUUGAGUGUUGGACUGCCACUUGGGAGACCAGGGUUCAAUUCCCAGCUCGGCCA